GCACCCUUAGCUCAGUUGGUAGAGCAACUGACUCUUAAUCAGUGGGUCCAGGGUUCGAAUCCCUGAGGGUGUA
rnacentral:tRNA from 1 species